rnacentral:rRNA from 1 species
GACGAACGCUGGCGGCGUGCUUAACACAUGCAAGUCGAACGGAAAGGCCCUGCUUGCAGGGUACUCGAGUGGCGAACGGGUGAGUAACACGUGGGUGAUCUGCCCUGCACUUCGGGAUAAGCCUGGGAAACUGGGUCUAAUACCGGAUAGGAGCCAUUUUUAGUGUGAUGGUUGGAAAGUUUUUUCGGUGUAGGAUGAGCUCGCGGCCUAUCAGCUUGUUGGUGGGGUAAUGGCCUACCAAGGCGGCGACGGGUAGCCGGCCUGAGAGGGUGGACGGCCACAGUGGGACUGAGAUACGGCCCAGACUCCGACGGGAGGCAGCAGGGGGGAAUAUUGCACAAUGGGCGCAAGCCUGAUGCAGCGACGCCGCGUGGGGGAUGACGGCCUUCGGGUUGUAAACUCCUUUCGCUAGGGACGAAGCUUUUUGUGACGGUACCUAGAGAAGAAGCACCGGCUAACUACGUG